rnacentral:lncRNA from 12 species
UCCCCCCCGAGGCUGCAACAGGUGUAGUCACCACAAAUUAUGUCUUCACAGGAAACCAGGAGCAAACGAAUGCAAGGCUGGUUUGCCACUUGGAGAGGCCAGACAAGAGAAAAUGCUCAUCAUUGCACUGGACUUCCAGGAUGAAAUUAUGCAGUAUCUGCUCUAAUAAAAUGAUCUGGUGAGACCUGCUGUUCCUUGGGCAUUAUCAGUCAACUGGGAGCUCAACAGCACAAAAGAGGUGGAUCUCUCUCUGAGCUGAGUACUUGGAACCUCUCUAAAUUUAGGCCAUGUCUACAACUGAAUUUCAGCUUUUUUAGCUGAUGAAUUAACGAAUGGUAUGCAACUGUGAAUUGGAACUACUCAUUUUUU